UACAGAGACUGCAAGCGUUAUUCGGAUUCACUGGGCGUAAAGGGUGCGUAGGUGGUUUGUUAAGUUGGAUGUGAAAUCCCCGGGCUCAACCUGGGAACUGCAUUCAAAACUGACAAGCUAGAGUAUGGUAGAGGGUGGUGGAAUUUCCUGUGUAGCGGUGAAAUGCGUAGAUAUAGGAAGGAACACCAGUGGCGAAGGCGACCACCUGGACUGAUACUGACACUGAGGUGCGAAAGCGUGGGGAGCAAACAGGAUUAGAUACCCUAGUAGU
rnacentral:rRNA from 1 species